GACGAACGCUGGCGGCGUGCUUAACACAUGCAAGUCGAACGGUAAGGCCCUUCGGGGUACACGAGUGGCGAACGGGUGAGUAACACGUGGGUGAUCUGCCCUGCACUUCGGGAUAAGCCUGGGAAACUGGGUCUAAUACCGGAUAGGACCACUGCCUGCAUGGGUGGUGGUGGAAAGCUUUUGCGGUGUGGGAUGGGCCCGGGGCCUAUCAGCUUGUUGGUGGGGUGAUGGCCUACCAAGGCGACGACGGGUAGCCGGCCUGGGUGGGGGACCGGGCACUCGGCGACUGCGACACGGCGCAGACUCCGACGGGGGGCAGGAGUGGGGAAUAUUGCACCAUGGGCGCGAGCCUGAUGCAGCGCCGCGGCGUGGGGGAUGACUGCGUGCGGGUUGUACUCCUCUUUCAGGACCGACGGAGCGUAAGUGACGGUAGGUGCAGAAGAAGGACCGGCCAACUACGUGCCAGCAGCCGUAGUAA
rnacentral:rRNA from 1 species